rnacentral:tRNA from 1 species
UCCGGGGUCGUUCAGCGGUCCAGGACCGGCGACUUUGACUCGCCAGACGUGGGUUCGACUCCCACCCCCGGAUCUA